rnacentral:rRNA from 1 species
GUGGGGAAUAUUGGACAAUGGGCGAAAGCCUGAUCCAGCCAUGCCGCGUGUGUGAAGAAGGUCUUCGGAUUGUAAAGCACUUUAAGUUGGGAGGAAGGGCAGUAAGUUAAUACCUUGCUGUUUUGACGUUACCAACAGAAUAAGCACCGGCUAACUUCGUGCCAGCAGCCGCGGUAAUACGAAGGGUGCAAGCGUUAAUCGGAAUUACUGGGCGUAAAGCGCGCGUAGGUGGUUCAGCAAGUUGAAGGUGAAAUCCCCGGGCUCAACCUGGGAACUGCCUCCAAAACUACUGAGCUAGAGGACGGUAGAGGGUAGUGGAAUUUCCUGUGUAGCGGUGAAAUGCGUAGAUAUAGGAAGGAACACCAGUGGCGAAGGCGACUACCUGGACUGAUACUGACACUGAGGUGCGAAAGCGUGGGGAGCAAACAGGAUUAGAAACCCCAGUAGUCC